AUUGAACGCUGGCGGCAGGCCUAACCCAUGCAAGUCGAACGAGUGGCGGACGGGUGAGUAAUGUCUGGGAAACUGCCCGAUGUAGGGGGAUAACUACUGGAACCGGUAGCUAAUACCGCAUACCAUCGGAUGUGCCUAGAUGGGAUUAGCUAGUAGGUGGGGUAACGGCUCACCUAGGCGACGAUCCCUAGCUGGUCUGAGAGGAUGACCAGCCACAGUGGAACUGAGACACGGUCCAGACUCCGACGGGAGGCAGCAGUGGGGAAUAUUGCACAAUGGGCGCAAGCCUGAUGCAGCCAUGCCGCGUGUAUGAAGAAGGCCUUCGGGUUGUAAAGUACUUUCAGCGAGGAGGCGUUACUCGCAGAAGAAGCACCGGCUAACUCCGUGCCAGCAGCCGCGGUAAUAC
rnacentral:rRNA from 1 species